rnacentral:siRNA from 1 species
UGGAGAAUCGAGAAGAAACUGCAU